AUUGAACGCUGGCGGCAUGCCUUACACAUGCAAGUCGAACGGUAACGGGCCUUCGGGUGCCGACGAGUGGCGAACGGGGGAGUAAUACAUCGGAACGUGCCCGAUCGUGGGGGAUAACGAGGCGAAAGCUUUGCUAAUACCGCAUACGAUCUACGGAUGAAAGCAGGGGACCGCAAGGCCUUGCGCGGACGGAGCGGCCGAUGGCGGAUUAGGUAGUUGGUGGGAUAAAAGCUUACCAAGGCGACGAUCUGUAGCUGGUCUGAGAGGAUGAUCAGCCACACUGGGACUGAGACACGGCCCAGACUCCUACGGGAGGCAGCAGUGGGGAAUUUUGGACAAUGGGCGCAAGCCUGAUCCAGCCAUGCCGCGUGCAGGAUGAAGGCCUUCGGGUUGUAAACUGCUUUUGUACGGAACGAAAAGCCUUCUUUUAAUACAGGAGGGUCAUGACGGUACCGUAAGAAUAAGCACCGGCUAACUACGUG
rnacentral:rRNA from 1 species